AUGAACGCUAGCGACAGGCUUAACACAUGCAAGUCGAGGGGCAGCACAGGUAGCAAUACCGGGUGGCGACCGGCGCACGGGUGAGUAACGCGUAUGCAACUUACCUAUCAGAGGGGGAUAACCCGGCGAAAGUCGGACUAAUACCGCAUGAAGCAGGGGCCCCGCAUGGGGAUAUUUGCUAAAGAUUCAUCGCUGAUAGAUAGGCAUGCGUUCCAUUAGGCAGUUGGCGGGGUAACGGCCCACCAAACCGACGAUGGAUAGGGGUUCUGAGAGGAAGGUCCCCCACAUUGGUACUGAGACACGGACCAAACUCCUACGGGAGGCAGCAGUGAGGAAUAUUGGUCAAUGGGCGUAAGCCUGAACCAGCCAAGUCGCGUGAGGGAUGAAGGUUCUAUGGAUCGUAAACCUCUUUUAUAAGGGAAUAAAGUGCGGGACGUGUCCCGUUUUGUAUGUACCUUAUGAAUAAGGAUCGGCUAACUCCGUGCCAGCAGCCGCGGUAAUACGGAGGAUCCGAGCGUUAUCCGGAUUUAUUGGGUUUAAAGGGUGCGUAGGCGGCCUUUUAAGUCAGCGGUGAAAGUCUGUGGCUCAACCAUAGAAUUGCCGUUGAAACUGGGAGGCUUGAGUAUGUUUGAGGCAGGCGGAAUGCGUGGUGUAGCGGUGAAAUGCUUAGAUAUCACGCAGAACCCCGAUUGCGAAGGCAGCCUGCCAAGCCAUGACUGACGCUGAUGCACGAAAGCGUGGGGAUCAAACAGGAUUAGAUACCCUGGUAGUCCACGCAGUAAACGAUGAUCACUAGCUGUUUGCGAUACACUGUAAGCGGCACAGCGAAAGCGUUAAGUGAUCCACCUGGGGAGUACGCCGGCAACGGUGAAACUCAAAGGAAUUGACGGGGGCCCGCACAAGCGGAGGAACAUGUGGUUUAAUUCGAUGAUACGCGAGGAACCUUACCCGGGUUUGAACGCAUUCGGACCGAGGUGGAAACACCUCUUCUAGCAAUAGCCGUUUGCGAGGUGCUGCAUGGUUGUCGUCAGCUCGUGCCGUGAGGUGUCGGCUUAAGUGCCAUAACGAGCGCAACCCUUGCCACUAGUUACUAACAGGUUAGGCUGAGGACUCUGGUGGGACUGCCAGCGUAAGCUGCGAGGAAGGCGGGGAUGACGUCAAAUCAGCACGGCCCUUACAUCCGGGGCGACACACGUGUUACAAUGGCGUGGACAAAGGGAUGCCACCUGGCGACAGGGAGCGAAUCCCCAAACCACGUCUCAGUUCGGAUCGGAGUCUGCAACCCGACUCCGUGAAGCUGGAUUCGCUAGUAAUCGCGCAUCAGCCAUGGCGCGGUGAAUACGUUCCCGGGCCUUGUACACACCGCCCGUCAAGCCAUGGGAGCCGGGGGUACCUGAAGUCCGUAACCGAAAGGAUCGGCCUAGGGUAAAACUGGUGACUGGGGCU
rnacentral:rRNA from 1 species